rnacentral:rRNA from 1 species
CAGUCGCCACGGUAAUACGAAGGGUGCAAGCGUUAAUCGGAAUUACUGGGCGUAAAGCGUGCGUAGGCGGUUUGUUAAGUCUGUUGUGAAAUCCCCGGGCUCAACCUGGGAAUGGCAAUGGAUACUGGCAAGCUAGAGUGUGUCAGAGGAUGGUGGAAUUCCCGGUGUAGCGGUGAAAUGCGUAGAGAUCGGGAGGAACAUCAGUGGCGAAGGCGGCCAUCUGGGACAACACUGACGCUGAGGCACGAAAGCGUGGGGAGCAAACAGGAUUAGAUACCCGUGUAGUCCCUGUCUCUUAUAC